AGGGCACCACCAGGAGUGGAGCCUGCGGCUUAAUUUGACUCAACACGGGAAAUCUCACCAGGCCCGGACACCGGAAGGAUUGACAGAUUGAGAGCUCUUUCUUGAUUCGGUGGGUGGUGGUGCAUGGCCGUUCUUAGUUGGUGGAGCGAUUUGUCUGGUUAAUUCCGAUAACGAACGAGACUCUGGCCUACUAACUAGAUGGAGGAUCCCUUCGUGGGUUCUUCACUGCUUCUUAGAGGGACGGGCGGCGUUUAGCCGCACGAGAUUGAGCAAUAACAGGUCUGUGAUGCCCUUAGAUGUUCUGGGCUGCACGCGCGCUACACUGAAGGAAUCAGUGUGUCCUCCCCGCUCUGAAAAGAGUGGGUAACCCGUUGAAACUCCUUCGUGAUGGGGAUUGGAGAUUGUAAUUAUUCUCCAUGAACGAGGAAUUCCCAGUAGGCGCGAGUCAUCAGCUUGCGUCGAUUACGUCCCUGCCCUUUGUACACACCGCCCGUCGCUACUACCGAUCGAGUGAUUUAG
rnacentral:rRNA from 1 species